CCUCUAUUGCAGGACUCCUCUGUCACAGGACAUCCACUGUUUAAGCACCACCACUACCUCAGGAAGUCCACUGUCUGUGUGUCAACUCCACUGUUACAGGACCACAAGUGUCUCAGCACUUCAACUAUCACAGCACUUCUACUGUUCAGGAGCUCAAGAGUCUCAGCAUCUCAAGUGUCACAGGACCUCCUUUGUCCAAGAACUGGACUGUCCAAGCAAUACUGCUAUUGUGGGACCUCCACUGUCACAGGAUUUCCACUGUAGGAGCACUACAACUGUCUCAGGACACCCACUGUCCUAUCACCUCCACUAUCCCAGGAAUUCCACUGUCAUAGCACCACCCGUAGCAACUAAAGUGUUUCAGGACAUCAUCUGAAGCAAGAUCUCCCAUGAUUCUGCAACUUCACUGCCCCAGGAUCUCUACAGUGACAGGAAUACCCCUGUAUCAGCAUUUCCAAUUUUGCAGGACCUCCACUGUAGCAGAACCUUCAAUUGUGCAGCAGCUCCCCUGUAUGUAGAUUGACCUCCACGAUCUCAGUGCCUCCACUUUCAAAGGACCUUCACUGUCACAGAACCGGCGCUAUUUCAGUGCCUCCACUGUCACAGGACCUACCUCUUCACAGGAUCUGCACUGUUGCAGCAACUGUAAUUUCAAUUUUUCAAAGUCAUUGCUGGUUAUUAGAUUUCAGGCUGAAUGAAAUGAGAUGUUACUUUUGAAAGCUUAAGAAUUUGUUCUAUACCUCUUGUGAUAAAUGCCGUGUGUGCUAGGACCAGUAAAGUAUGGAAGACUUCUUCAGCUCAUACCACUCUCCACCUCACUUUGUGGAAGCUGGUGUUUUUAGAGUGUGAUAAACUUCAGGUGAAUGGAUGCAUUCAGCUGCACCACGCUCUAGAGUGGGCUACACAGCAGUCAUAUUGAGUCCUUGCUGGGAAGAGAAGAAAUCCAGAAGAGGGAGAAGGCUUGGGUUGGGGGAAGAAUCAUAAAAUACUUAGAGGAUAUUAGAAGGUAAGAAUUAUGGGGAACUGGAAAACAGAGCCAAAGGAAGAAUGAGCACAGAGCAAACUGGGAAGGACAAAGUACAAAGGCACUUGGGUUUUGCCAUCUGCGUGUUCUCUGGACAAUCUCCCUGGGCCACAUUUCUGGGAGAAAACUCUUCCCCCACCCCCUUGUAAGGUUUCAUUCUUGAAGGAAAGCAGCAACACAACUUCAUCAGUGAAUUUCCCCAUUGGAAUUGGUUCAUCCUUUAAUGCCUCUGGGAAAUCCCGAGCUGGGGAAUGUCCUGCUCUCUGCUGAGAGACAGCAGGAAAGUAGGUCGUCCUCUGUUUUCUCGUUGCUACAGCUCUUCUAAGUAUGGCUGAUUGUUGAGUGAAGACACAGGAUACUUCUGGUGUGUAUGUAUGCUUUGUUCACUGUGGGUGUUGUUGGGAGUGUCCUGAAAAGAAGGGCAUGCCCAAUGGCACUUCUGCUUCCUCUUUGACUAGCCUUAUGAUCAUAGGGAGACACUAGGCCAUUGGAAGAUGAGGAGAGCAAUGUGUCUAAGUUGUGUUCACUUCUAUUCCUAUUUAGUCCUAGAGGGAAAUCAGCAAGGGUGUGAGGAAUGCUGCUGUGCACUGACUGUGUGGUGUGAGGAAUGCUGCUGUGCACUGACUGUGUGGUGUGAGGAAUGCUGCUGUGCACUGACUGUGUGCUGUGAGGAAUGCUGCUGUGCACUGACUGUGUGCUGUGAGGAAUGCUGCUGUGCAUUGAUGCUGCCUUUUUUCUUUUCUCCCUACACCUGCAUCCUUCUGGUGGCUCAGGUUGGACAACUAGGUGCCCAUGACCAACUCCUCAUUGUGGAUGGAUUUAGUCUGGUUGGACUUUCUCAGGAAAGGUAUGACUAAUUGGUUACUUUAAAGCUGAUUGGUUAGUCUUACUGUAUUGAAGUGAUAUUUUGCUUUUUAUUUUGAAAUUUGAAUUCAAAAAGAAGUGCUGUAAAAGCUCUUUGUGUUUACUCAUCUUCCCCUAUAAUCCUAGUUGUUAGAGCACAUGAAUCUCAUUUGUGUUCACUCAUAAGAAUGUAUAUUCUUUAGAGUAUUUCCUUAAAUAAUUAUAUAAAUAUGUACACUUAUACUUAGAGCUUGUAAAAUGUUUAAAUAUCUUAAUGUUAAUGUUAUAGAAUAGAAUAUAUUUACCUUUUUUAUAAUUAAUUGUCAUAAGUGAUGUGGACAGGACAUAAUCUUCUGAAAGCCUGGUUUAUUUCCCACACAGCAACCGGGUUGAGGAACCUAAGCACAAGUAUUCUGAACAUAGACUCUACUGUGACAGUGACCGCUGUUUCUUUUCUACCUAAGGCAGCUGAACUCAUGACUAGUACCAGUUCCACGGUUACCCUGGAAGUUGCAAAUCAAGACAUCCUCUCUCACUGCCUGUCCACCUUUCUUACCAACCCAUUGUCCUCCAUGGUGCAGAGAGCCUCUUACCACUUCCAAGGAAGAACUUCAGGAAGAGUUUUACCUACUUGAGCUCCAUUGAGUAGAGGCUGGCAAGGGUCUCUAGUGUGACAGUAAUAUGUGGAUCCAGAGCUCCUCAUUGGAAUCUAUGACAUCCAGACAGGAGCACCUGAACCCUUCCUCCAAGUCAGUUACCCCUGCUUCCACUCUGACUAAGAGUGGUCCUGGCCAUUGGGAAACCCCAGCAGAGGUGCUGGCCACCACUGUUACUGUCUCCCAGCCCAUAUGAACAGACCUCCCUCCACCACCUCCUCUACCACAGGUCCACUACACCAGAUUUUGGCGGCAUUUUAGUGGAUUUGCCCCUCCCACCACCUUCUGCAAACAAGGCAGGAUCCCAGUCUGUUCAGGUGGCUGCUGGCUAGCAAAAGAGAGUGAGGAGCAGCAGUGGUGGUCUGAGAUAUAGAAGGCCUGCCUGGACAAGGAAGCAGAGAGGAAGCACAGGAAGCAGGAGAGGAAUGGGUGACAGAUGCACUCUCAUUCCCUGAACCUGCUUCCUUCUCUUCUUUGACCACACCGACCAAACCAGGAAAACCUUCCACACUGCAGAGGCCCCAAGAAACAGUCAUUCUGGUGUUGUAGUCCCCGCAGCAGCCCCCCACUAUUGAGCACAGGGAUCUGCAGUUCAUAACUAUCAGUAAAGAGGAGUUGUCCUCUGGGGAGUCUGUCUCCAGACCCAUGGAAACAAGAUGCCAGGGAGAAGCUGGAGAAGCAACAGCAAAUGCACCUUGUGGAUAUGCUAAGGAGAUCCAUGAGCUGCAAAACAAGGGGGACGGUAGUGCAGAGGAGAGUGACUGCCUGUGGAAGAAUAUGCUGGAGUGGCAGUUCCAGAAGAGACUUCAGACCAUAUUUCUUGUGUUUCUCCCAGGUUCAUUUCAGAAUACUGUUCAAGAAGCUCAACAUUUGACGUUUACAUAGUAGAAAUUUAUAACAACAAUGUUUUUGCCCUUCUGGCCUUAGACAGUUCUACAGUGGUGUCUAUGGUUAAGUGCCAGGCAGUGAGAACCCAGGAGUGAUAUUCAGAGGUACAAAGGAUGACCUGCAGGUGUGUGCAGCCGUGCCAGUCUUGUUCACCAUGGGAUGGAAGAGGUCCCUGACCUGUGAGCCUAGAGGUGACCAGGUGCUCCAUUCUGAGACUGAGAGAGGCAGGAUGCCCACUCAAGGGUCCAUAGCAGGGAAGGUUUUCAAGCUAUGUACAGUGUUGGAAAAGCCUACACAGGGCAUACAGUUAGCAGUGAUGUGUUUGCAGGGAGUCCAAGGAACCAGCUUUGUACUGAUGCAGGUGGGCAAGCAUUUAUCAUCCACCUUCCACUCUGACAGCAAUAAGAGUAUUGCUUAAGUUUUAUUUCAUAGAUUUGAUCCCUGACCAAAAUACCAAAAACUGCACCCUUAACGAUGUAGCAAAUACAAUAGUGGAUACUAGGCCAAGAACCUUUGACUCUUCUAAUACCAUUGUGUAUUUCAGAGCAAGGAAGGAGAGGUAUCAAUGGACAGCAGUCUGCUUUCCCCACGAGUGCUCUACCACUGAGUUAGUAGCCUGAGCCCUCCUCACCUUUAGAAAAAGGGUGUGACUAAGUUGUCCAUGGUGACCUUGAACUCAUGCUGUAGACCAGGCUAGCCUUGAACUUCUGAUCCCCCUUCCUACUGAGUGUCUUGAUUGUCUGGUAUUACAGGCCCAUUUCUCUACAGUUGACCAGCUUGCUUGCUUCCUCCUUUCUUUUCUUCUCCUUUUUAUCUCUCUCUUUCUUUCAUUCUUCCUUCCUUCCUUUCUCUCUCUCUCUUUCUCUCUCUCUCUCUCUCUCUCUCUCUCUCUCUCUGCCUUUCUUGAUUUUUCGUUCUUUCUUUCGUUCGUUCUUUCAUACUUUCCUUCCUUUCUUUCAUUCUUUUCUUUCUUUCAUUCUUUAACUUUCUUUUCUUCCUUCUUUCAUUCCUUUGUUCCUUUCUUUUAAGAUUCAAUUAUUUGAGUGGUCUAUCUGCAUGUACAUCUGUGUGUCCAAAGAGGGCAUCAGAUCUGAUUAUAGUUAGUUAGUAUCCAUAAUAUGGUGACUGGAAUCAAACUCAGGACCUUUGAAAGUGCAGCCAGGCUCUGAACCACUGAGCCUGCUCUCCAGCCCCAGCCCAUUUUCUUAAACUUAGCACACUUGGUUCACAUGAGAAUUGUCUGUCCAUGAGCAAGAUAAGGUUAAUCAUAGCAAAGAGUGCUUAUCCCUUGCCAGAUCAACCUGGGGUCUCCUGUGACUUAUGCUGUCCUUUUCCAGGCCUGUCACCAGUGCCUUGGCGUUUGUGGGACUCAUCCACAGAGGCAUGCAACUCAGAGAACUGCACCCCAACUUGGUGCACAGGAACUCUUUCAGGUGUCACUUGAUUGUCACAGGUUUCUACUCGGUCAGCAAGGAAGGGAAGCCUAGCACUGUGCCAGGUCAGUUCCCAGUACAGAAGUUCAUUCAUGGCAAACCCAAGUGAUCAUUGCAGUGAGCGUUGGCGGUCUAGAGCCCACAUCAAGGAGGCCUUCCACACUUUGGAAGUGGAGAGGGAGGGAAGAAAACAAAAGUAUGGUACACUCACACUUUGGAAGGACACACAUCCAUCCUAAGUGAAACACAAGUUCUGUUUUCCAGUUGACAAGUAUAUAACAUGGCUCUUAAGGCUACACCCACAUUGUAAAAGCCGGUGAUGUCAAUCACAGCAGGUAAGAUGUCAGCCACCUGAGUCAUGCAGAGUUUGACCACAUGAGACUCACCCCAGGACUUAAAUGCAGUGAGUUCAAGGACUCACAUGCUAUGCUGCGUGGGCUCCUCCUUAUGCCACACCUUGACCCCAUUGCACCCUGGGCCUCCACACCAUAAGCCAGAGUGCAGAUCCCUGGGCACAGUAGGACACACCUAGGCUAGUUUCCACUCCCAUGGAUGUUCUUGUGGCCUUGUCAGAGCACUGUGACCACAUCCCACAUCUGAACAGCAAGCUAAUCAACAGGAUGCUCUAGGAGUCCACCCGUUUGUCUUCUUCAGAGACCCCAUAAUAGAGGGGGCAGAAAUCCAGGCUUUAGGGAGCUACCACAGCCAUGAUUGUUCAUUUGUCCCAGCCACUCCACCUUUGGCCAAGUUACAUCUCUGCCAGGCCCUGCCAUGUUGUCUUCAACAUGUUUGUGUGUCAGUGAUACUUGUAUGAACUAUGCUACACGUUGGCCUAGAGGCUGGGCUUUCCUCUUGCAUUUCCAGCAAGACUACAGAGUUCCCGGGGGAGACUCUCAUGGCUCUUCAUGUUCUGGCAGCACAGUCUGCAGAUGUCUCUAAGGUAUUGGACAUCAGACCCCACUGAGGAGUGAGAGGCUUUCAGUGGCUUAUAGACCCAGGGCCUGGGCAUGAUGGCCUUUAUUGUGUGUUUGAUAGCAUGUAUGCUCUGCUCCAAGUGUAGACAGACACUCCCCAUGCCUGUAGUCUGUGCUUGGAGUGUGGGUACACACUCUCCAUGCAAACAGCUGUCUACGCACACACAGAUGCCAUUUUCAUGAUUUACACCUGUUAUCUUUGAUGUUUCUUUUAAAAGACAAUCAUAUAAAGUUACUGUGAUUUUGUGCUGGCUUUCUUUACCCAGCCCACAGAUGAAUAUUGGAAGGAGACUUGAAUCUGCGUGGGCUCCUCCUUAUGCCCAUACCCUGACCCCAUUGCACACUUUUAGGCAGAGGCAUGGCAGAGCGUGGCCUGUAAUUGUCCUGUCCAUUCCCUAUGGAUUGUGACCACAGUCUGCAGUUCUGCACAGCCUGGCAUCCAAGGAAAUUGGUAUAGUUCCCUACAAUGUCUCCACAGGCCCAGAGGAAGGACAUAAAUAGAAUCUUUAUGAGACCCAAGUGGCUUCUCAGGGUCAGCCAAUGCUCUUGGCUCCUUCUUGUCUCUGAAGACACAGGGCACAGGUCCUGACCUGCAUGCACCUGUAGCUGCUGCACACACUAAGGAUGACUUGUGCUGGCCUCUGAUGCUUCUGGGAGUCCUGAAAACCACAAUCCCUGGGCCAAGGGGACUAGUGAGGGACAAGUGAGCACAAGGCCCCUGCCUGCUCCCUGGAGACCAGAAGCCCCAGCAGGGUUCUCACUGCUGUGUUCCCCAAGAUAAUGACAAGCACCUGUUACAGCAGGUCAUGCUCUGGUGGGAAAGGCAGACAGGCACAUCCAAGGCUGUUCUGUGGCCAUGCUGGGCCUGCCUGCUCUUCAGGGGCAUACUCUGCCAUGCCACUCAGCAUAUCCCAAGCUGUGUCUGGAGUGCUUUGGUCUCACAGGAAUGCUGUGUUCAUGGAGACACUGACAAACUAAGGACCAAGACCCUGUCAAGUACCCAUCCACACAUGACUCCUGCCAGGAAUCAGCAGUAUGGGCAACCACGUAAACAUGGAGACAUGGAUUAUUUCUUCCUUGGGAGCACUUGUGAACCACAGGGUCAGGUGACAAGCUCUAGACCAGGAAAGGAUCAGGAGGAGCAGAGUGACCUCACCUGAACUUGAGGAAUAGGGAACCCAGCAAGGGGAGUGACCACCCUUGGUUCACACAAUUUAGGGACAUAUGUGGUGGGAAGAAGCUAAGUUGAGGCAACCUGGACACAUCCCAAGAUAGCAGGUGAUGGGGGGGGGGCGGUGUAGGCUUGCAUGAAAUGAUGUGUUUGUGUGUGUGUGUGUGUGUGUGUGUGUGUGUGUGUGUGUGCCUGUGUAUGUCUGUGAAUGGGCCUAUCCUGACACCAGACCUGACCGAUGCCAGGCACCCACAGUUGGCACAGACCCCACUUUACACUAGGGUUUUUGUUCCCAAAGGUUUUCUAAUGGAAGGUAAUAUGCGUCUUGUGCAGGGCUAGUUCACCAGAUUUUCUACGAAAGAUGAAAUCUGAUCUUUAGAGAUUGGAGUCUGAGCUAGCCUUGUGGACCCUCCUCUUCCCACUGUUCCCAGUCUGUUUCGUGUCACAAUGUCCAGGGAAUAGAACCCUCAGUUCUGCCAGCACCUCUGUGUGAGGCAUUGCAUCAGCUGACAUCCAGAAUGGUUGUCCCAACUCCACAUGUUCUGGCCGAGGUCAAGAUGCACACAAGAAGGCCUAGAUGAGGAGGUACUGCCCCACCCAGCCAGACAGACUUCAUCUACUCUAACAGAUGUUAGGAGGAGGUGCAGAUAUGACUCACAAAAAUGCAUCCACUAUUGGGCUCAACUACCAAGAACCUGUGAGCAGCAGUGACAUUCAAGUCUCCUCUCAUCCAAGUAGAGGGACAUCAAAUACUUCUUUGGACCCUGGGCAGUAAAGAAAUCUUGAGGGCUCCAUGAGUAGAUAACAUACCAUGAACCAUAUCAGAGCCCAUGGACUGUACCUGCUUGAUGACCCUGGACCUCCUUGGCUAAGGUGAGGAGAGGAGACCCCAAACAGCCCUAUACCAGUGACUCAGAAACACUGUCAGACAGGAUGGACCAGCCUCCACAACCUGAGAUGUGCAGUAAGGGUUCUUUUCCAUUCCGUACAAAGAUGUCUGGUUUGCAGUUUCUCAAAUGGAUCUGAGACAUACUGCAAGGGAGGCUUUGUGUUGGGUGCAGUAGUUAAAACCAGGACAUGAGAAGGGUAACUGCAGAGCUGUGAUCUCGGAAAUUCUGCAGUACCCAGUUUGGAUUAUUGGAGCCUAGGCAGGCUUUGCAGUCAUAGACCUCCCUCUACUGCCCAUGUCCCUUCAUGACAACUUCUCUAGCAGAUAAGACCAGAGUCCAGGCUGCUUCAGGGCUAACAAGACACUUGUUUCUCUCAUACACUUACGCUCCUGAGAAUCCUAGUAGCUUACAACCAGAAACAGGAAAAAUAGAGCCCAUCCAAAGCCCUAUGAUUAAGUCAGAGCUAGUCCCAUCUCCUACAAGUGGGCAGGGAAAGGCGACUGAUGUGGUGGGCAGAAGUGGUAAGGGCCAACAACUGACUUGCUUGGAAAAGGCUGGAGACUGGUCAUGAUGGAAUGAUCUCAAGCAACCUUCAAGGCUGGCUGGCACAGAAAGGGCUGCUGGAUAUCUCUUGCCCAGACCACAAUGUCCUCCAGGGUUCUGUCUUCACCAGGCCAGUAUAGGAAGAGGUAGCACCUGAACUUCAUGCCAUUGAGAGAGCUAACCUCUUGAGGAACCAGCUGGUCCACCAGUGUGCAGUCUCAGGUUUCGCUGGGUGAGAGAGUCGUGAGCUGUCUGUAUGAUUGAGUAGACACUUGUUGUCCAGGCUGAGGACAUACUGGGCACCUCUGCGGUUGUUCUCUGCCUCUUCAACCUACAGGGAGAUAGAAAACAUGGAGGUAGUCUGCACCCUGACUUUUGGCACUUUCUAUGCUCCUACAAUCCCAGGACUGAACGUCUACAUAGACCAUCUAAUUCUGGCAGAGUCGAUCUGUCAUGGGCCAGAUAAGCCAUCCUGUUGGUUGCUCUGUCUUAGCUUUCAUGACACACUGCCCUCUAUUUUACCUCAGGCUGUCUCCUCCAAGCAUCCCAGCAUGCAUCAGCUCCAUAUCCUGCCCAACAUACCUUAGGGUCCCUGAUAAUUCCAGAUACUUUAAUGUUCUCCCAGGCUGCACUGUGGGCUCUUGUGUGCCUCAAUUCAUCCUAGAAGUUCUUGGGAGCCUCCAUGCCAUGGCAUAGGAUAUCUUUGUGUCCACACUGAGCCGAGUGAUUCCAUCCAGUAUAGGAUUCUCUCCCUAUUGUUGAAUUUUGGCACUUA